GGAGGGCGGGGACGCGUGGGACGGCAAUGCAGCCCACCCCAAGCGGAGUCCAAGUGCCCGCACAGCAGCACCUCCACGAGGAGCGCGUCGGCAUCGCUGUGGAGCAGCCGAGCCUCUUGGAGGAGGAUUAGAAUCAGGCAGCCGGUCCCGGGCACCGGGCAGCACACUCAAGCGUGAUGCACUCACACUUCUCUCCAAAUUCUGUGCUUGAUUAAAUCCUAAGAAAUCUUUAUUCCAUGAUGCUUUCAACCAAAUGAUGUCAAAAUAUUCUUUCUCACCCUUCCCUUCCCUUUCCUGCACUUGAAGCAGCAGCCCGCUGAUCAUCGGGGGCUCAGUUUGCCAUCAGAGAUUGUCAGCGGUCAUCUGAAGGCUUUGUUGGCUGUCAGAGGGCUCCACUGAUCAUCAGAGAUCUUCACUGAGGUCAGAGGGCUUCAUUAAUCAACAGAGGGUGUCAUCGGUCAUCAGAGAGGAGAUCUGAGAGCGUGGGGACGAGGACGCAGACACACAGAGCGUGGCUUUGCUGAGGGCUUCAUUGAUGACUGGAGGAUGUCAGCGAUCAUCAGGGUCUUCCUUCUUCUUCAGAAGGCUCCACCGGUCAGCAGAGGAUGUCAGAAGCCCCCCUUGAGAUACUGAAAGCCGCCCUUAGGAGGUCUUCUCUUCUGCUGGCUGCCAAAUUCGAUGCGUGUCAUGAAGUGCUCCAUAAGGACAAAGCAGUGGAACGUCUUUAUCCUCAGCAGAAUAACUUUGAAAAGCCAGAUGGACUCUGCUAUAGAGGCAGAUGUCAAAUGUGGCUUUUCUCCAUUGACAACUGAUGCCUGGCAACUUGGAGACUGAUGUAUACAUGUGUAGAGAUGUUCCCAUUAAAACAGGAGCCCAGAGAGCCCCACAGUCCAACGGGACCCCCAGCCACAAUGGGCUCAGUGUGUCCAGGAAAAAUAUGAAUUAAAAUGCAGGAAGAAGUGUCACGUUUUGCCAGUUCAGAUAAAAUGGAGGAAUGCUCAGUC